GCUGUCAAUUUCAGGAUAAAAAUAUUUAUCCACAUAUUUUAAAAUAAUUAUAAAGCCACUAAAAUGCUACAAAUUUAUUAGUUAAUAAUGUAUAGGAGUCGAUAUCUUUAGUGAAGAAAUUGUAUUACACGAAAAGGCCGCCAUUUGAUGUGGUUUCUAACAUCGUCGAUAUUCAAUACACGUUAGUAUAACCUACUGGUACAUAAAACUUCAUUAUAGAACAAGACAAGAUCACAAUAGAUCUGAGAAGGUCGCAGUGAGUCAGGCCGAAAUCAACCUCUAGAAAUCUAAUCUAGAACAAGACAAAGACCUUACUUGCAAACUACCAUACAUAUCUUUUAAAAAGGAUGCUAAGUUUUAGUUUUCAACAUUUUGCAGCAAGAAGUUUAGAUAAAUCUACAAUAUAUUAUCAUCAGACCAAACGAAGGAUAAUUAUUUAAAAGAAUAAGUUAUGUUAUGAUACAUAUAUAGAUUUGGAUGACAUCGCUUCAGGUGGUUUUACCAGUCAGGACUAACAGGGAUAUUAAUCAAAACAAUGAAAAAAAGCUCAAAUAAAUUUGAUCCUAAUAACAAGAAUGUUGUUUAUGCAUAUGCUAACUAUAUAGUUAUUUUCAUGGACUUAAAUAGAUUAG